UACGGAGGUCUCAAGCGUUGUUCGGAUUCAUUGGGCGUAAAGGGUGCGUAGGCGGUGAGGUAAGUCGGAUGUGAAAUCCCGGGGCUCAACCCCGGAACUGCAUUCGAUACUGCCUUGCUUGAGCACUGGAGAGGAGACUGGAAUUUACGGUGUAGCAGUGAAAUGCGUAGAUAUCGUAAGGAAGACCAGUGGCGAAGGCGAGUCUCUGGACAGUUGCUGACGCUGAGGCACGAAGGCCAGGGGAGCAAACGGG
rnacentral:rRNA from 1 species